UUUAGUUUAUCAGCGACCUGCAGGCCCACUGGCGGCCUUUACACUUACAGCUGGUCAGCGGGGUGGGACAGGGUGGAAGCUAAAUGGCUGCUCUAAAACGCCUUGGUGUAAACAACCCAGGGAAGGACUUCCUUGAACUGCCAGUUACCUGAGUGUGAUCCAUCUCACUAAAGCGUCUGCCCCAAGAGGGGUAGUAUCACCAGGAAAGAAAACAAAUAAAAGACACCCAGCAUGUUGCAGCACAGGCACAGGCUGGGGAAUGCUGUCCCCUUGAGGGGGAGAGGGAUCCUCAGCUAGCUGAUUUGGAACUUUUUUUAAGACUAUAAUGAAUCAUCACAGCAAAAUUUCUUGCAAGCAAAAGGAUUAAACAACACCAAACAUUUUGGAUGCAAGCAUUUUUGAUAUAAGCAAUGCAAGAAUACAAAACCACAGAGAUGUGCAUGGCAGGGUGGGGGAAUGCAUUUGUGAAAGAAAUUUAAAUGAAAAAAAUCUAUCAGCAUGUGCAUCUUUUUUCCUGGCUAACACCUACAAGCAGACAGCAAGAGACACAAGGCUGCUGAAUAAGACACAGCAUAGCUGUGAACAAGAAAGCAUGAAUAAUAGUGCUGUGGAAAUAUUGUACCUCAAAACCUGAAU